AUUAAAUAAAUAAUAAUAUCCCAUAUAUUUCUGAUAAUAGGGUUCAGAUGUUUCUACGAGAUAACCGUAAAUAUUCUCGCUAUGGGUAAAUCAUAGAGUAUA
rnacentral:ncRNA from 2 species